CUCCUCCUCCUGACAGCCUCCAGCGCCUUGACCUUGUCCACUCUCCAAAGGCCACUCCACGCAUCACGCUUACAAGCCCUGGCGCAGUGGUGCUCUGCCGAUUGGAGUAGAGGCCGCCAUGGAUUCUCCCGCAAGGGCCUCAAAGUCAACUGGUGCAUCCAAAACAGCCAAGUUCUUGGCAUAUCACCCAGAUGAUCCGUGGAUGUGAGCUCGAUUUGCAGUUGUUCGCGGAUUUUGCUCACGUUGGGGACGACGACGGCAUUUUUGCUGGUGUGGUUCCAGGUAUUUAAAAACUUGUAUAGUUCAUUUCGAGCUUGGGAAGUUUUCUCUUCACUUUUUCUUGAUGGAGAUGUUCCUUUGCUAUGGAAGGAUUGCCAGAAGCGUGGAUGCUCAGUAGCCUGAUUUAGACACCAUGCCAUACUGAGAAAGAAGUGGAAGCAACGCCCGUUUUCCGCUGCCAUUGCAUUCUCUUUGAUUAUGGAGAUUGCCGACUCGAGGCAGGCAGGCCACAAAAGCGAAAGGCGUAAUCAGCAAUUUUGAAACUCAAAAGUGAUCAACAUUACAUAUUC